rnacentral:rRNA from 1 species
CGGGUGAGUAACACGUGGAUAACCUACCUAUAAGACUGGGAUAACUUCGGGAAACCGGAGCUAAUACCGGAUAAUAUAUUGAACCGCAUGGUUCAAUAGUGAAAGACAGUUUUGCUGUCACUUAUAGAUGGAUCCGCGCCGCAUUAGCUAGUUGGUAAGGUAACGGCUUACCAAGGCAACGAUGCGUAGCCGACCUGAGAGGGUGAUCGGCCACACUGGAACUGAGACACGGUCCAGACUCCUACGGGAGGCAGCAGCU